rnacentral:rRNA from 1 species
UACGUAGGGACCAAGCGUUGUUCGGAUUUACUGGGCGUAAAGGGCGCGUAGGCGGCGUGGUAAGUCACUUGUGAAAUCUCUGAGCUUAACUCAGAACGGUCAAGUGAUACUGCUGUGCUAGAGUGCGGAAGGGCAAUCGGAAUUCUUGGUGUAGCGGUGAAAUGCGUAGAUAUCAAGAGGAACACCUGAGGUGAAGACGGGUUGCUGGGCCGACACUGACGCUGAUGCGCGAAAGCCAGGGGAGCAAACGGG